ACAUUCGCAGAAGAUCCAUAUGUAUAAUUGGCUGCAGUUUCACUCACUUUCUUGUUGUUUGUCUCGAUUACCGUAUGGAAUCCAAGACAAGAUGUUUAUUUUAAGACAAAUAUUCCUAGUCGCCAUAUUCCUCACCAUUCAUUCUGCAUAUUCAGAAGAAGAUGAGGAAUACAAUUAUGUGUCUCCACUUCCAAAAAUAAAUUUAGACUCCAACUUACGAAGAGCACUUUUAAAGGCUUUAACCGAACUUGAAAAUGAAGAAAAAGAAAAAGAAAAAGCUCAAUAUAGUAUAGUUAGCAAUUCUGAAGAAAAGAUAAUUGAAAAAGCAUCAGCUGCGUCCGUCUCGGUAUAUGCUAACUCGGAAUCUGUAACAGCUUCUCCAAUUCCACCUAGUUCAACAAUCAACAUUGAUCCAACUACUUCAGAGACAUACAACGUCAUUCUCCAAAAGAGUGAAGCAAUUCAGCAAAAACCAGUUGCAAACCUUGAAAAAGCUGAAGAUGAAAGUAUUUUAACGAGUGCUUCUAACAAUUUCGCGGAUCAAUCUUUUGGUAAAGAUGCUCAAUCCGAAAAAAGUGAAUCAAUUAGUCAAAACUCUAUAUUCAACUCCGAAAAAUCAACCACAAAACUUUUCAAGCCUCAAACUACUACCAUACCUCCCAAAGUAUCCACAGAAGAAAGUGAAGCUAAAGCUGAAGACGUACAGUUCUUUUCGGCGCCUUUAGUAGCAGCAUUUACUGUACAUCAAGAUGAAUUGGGUUUACCUAAAAGAGUUGAACCGAUUUUCAGGAUAGGUAAAACUGCAGAAGAAAUAAGAAUUGAAAACGAACAAAUUAAAUUAGCUAAAAAAUUCGAAGAAGAAAAAAUUGCUGCUGAGCAGAUUCGACUAGAAGAAUUGCGAAAGACUCGCGAAAAACUGCAAAUUCAGCAAAAGCAAAAGGCACUGGAGGACGAAAUAGUACGAUUAAAUUUAAAUUUAAAACAACAACAGGAGUAUUUAUUGAGGCAGCAAGAAGAUUUUCGUCUUCGUAAUAAUGCUCAAUCGUUUGCACCAAAUAAUAACUCCCCAUUCUCCACCCCUUCACCCUUGAAUUUGGUUCAACAACCACCGUCUUCAGCUAGUCAUGUUUUUAAAUCAAACUUAAAUUUAGUUCAACAAUUGCCCGUUCAAUCUAAUGUACAGCAGUUUAAAGCUCAAGCAGUAACUAUACAGCCAAGUUUGUCAUUUAAUUCAUUACCAGAUGGUGGUAAAUUGCCACUUAAUGCUCAAUUUCUUCCAGUCAAAGGCCCAGUAGAUUUUAGAGCCCCAUUUUCCUCAAAUAAUAUUAACCAACCGCAUUUUCCUCAACAAAAUAAUUUUAAUCAACAGGCACCCAACAAUGUAAAUCAACAGAAUCAAAACAGCAACAGAUUUUUUAGACAGAACAGCGGCUUUGGUAACUUUGGAGGAAACGAUUUUAGUACCAACACAAAUUCUUUCUCAAUUCAACCAGCAAUUCAGCAAACAUUUAACAAUGGUCAAAGUAACAGAUUCUUUAGAUCAAACACUGAAUCUACAUUGACUGCACCUCAGUUUCUUCAGCCACCUCAUAUUCCAACACACCAACAAAGUAAUCGAUUUUUCAGAUCUAACUUAGAAAAUCCAUUUAACUCCAAUCAAGCUAACAAUAACUAUCAAUUAUCAAAUCUGUUAUAUACAUCUGGAGCUCUUAGAGGAAAAUCACCGGAGGACCUUAGCAUUAUCAGCAAAGUUUUAUCUCUAAACCAUGUUGGUGGUAGAACUCCUGGAAUCUCACUCAGGCCAGAGCUGCAAGGAUCUUUUGGGAGGAACUUUUAAGAUUCUUGGAGAAAGAACAGAUUAUUUAUUUAUUAUGUAGUGAACCAAUAUAGUCAUAAUUUUAAGUGAAAUUUUAUAAGAUUGCCAUCGUUAAGUAACACUUCCAAUUCAAAACAAAGUUUUCUGAUUUUCUGUUUUUAGUAUCUGUUGAGAAGUACAGGAAAUCAAGGAAAUUUUCCUGUUUUGAGCUAUUUUGUUAUAAUUAUGUUUUUGUUGUGAAUAUUUAUUAUUCUGUUAUAUCUAUAUCUAUAAUCUAGUAACUAAUAGUUACUUUAUUUUUCUUUCUUAUUUACAUACAUACUUUAAUUUGAAGAAAACUAUAGUAGUUACUAAAAUAAAUAAAAAAAAGUGUGCAAAAAGAAAACUCUGACCUUUCUUACUGAGAAAUCUCUUUAUUAAAUUUGAUUGCUCAAAGAGACUAGGAGCCGGUAUAGGUGAAAUUUGCUAAUCAUUUUAGUCACGAUAAGACCCCAUAACUUAAAUAGUAGAACCUAAAAGAAAACGUAUGAACACUGUGGCGUCACUUUGUAGUGGCACAUGCGUCGACAGUGGCGCAUCAAACUGUCCACUUAUGGACGGGAUAAAUAAAUUAAAAAGUACUCUCUCUUACUCCCAGAAUUCAAUUUUUUUUCACUUUUUUAAGUUCUAUGUGAUUAAAUAAUAAGACAUAGCGUAUUUCAACUCACCACCCCCUUCCCCCUGUCCCCACCAUCAAAAACUUAAUUUUUCGUUUUUAUUUUUUUUAUGUGGAAUAGGAAACCAAUUUUAAAAUUUCAAAAAAUUCAUAGGCAUAAUUGAGGCUUUUACAAAAUAAGUCUAUUUUUAUAGAUCCGUAGGUUAAAUAUACAUAUCCUCAAAAAAUUAAAUUUUUUUUUGGAAAAAAAAGCGUACAAUUUUUUUGGAAUUGGCUGGAGGUCUAAUUUUUGUUCUAUUUUAUUUAUUUUGUCAAACACUAUGCUUUUAAUUUUUUUUUCAGAUUUUUCGUACGGUUAGCCACUUUAAAAAAUCAAAAAAACUGUUUUUUGUGGGGUUUUUGGGGGUUUCUCCCAUUUUUAAAUAUUCCAAAGGACAGAGGCAUAGCUAUCGCCGUAUCAGCCGUAUCAAUUAUACGGGGCCCCCAACAUUCAGGGGCCCCAACGCGGAAUGUCGAAACAAAAUUCCAUUCAAAAAAUUGAACAAAAUAUUCUGCAAUUAUUUCACUAUUAAAACGCAUUGAAACAGUGUACAUAUUGUUGGGAUAUAUCGACAUUUUCAUGUAAUGAAUUCUUUAUUAUAAACUAUAUUUACGUACUGUACUGUACAGGUACAGGUACCUGUCUAUUUUCUACCUCUAGCCGUUCUAUAUCAACAACGGUUUUUUGUUUUUAAGCUACUUCUUAUUGUCCAUUCACCGUUGACUGUGUGAGACAUUGUAUAAUGUAUAAUGCAAAAUUGCAAUAUUUGUAAUCGCUUUACCUUUGAUAAUUUGAAAUAUUGAAACACUGUGUAUUGUUUGCGUAUAUUUUCGUGUAAUCUGUUCUCUAUCUAUAAAUUGUAUUUAGGUACAGUCGGAAAAAUGAAAGAAUACCCAUGAACGAGCAUAUAAAACACGCUGUAUUUUCCUGUCACCGUGUCACAAAGAAAAUUGCCCAGCGCAAUUACAUGUAAUAAUAAUUAUUACAUGUACUUGCGCUGGCCAAUUUUUUGUAUGACACGGCGACAGGAAAAUACAGCGUGUUUUAUAUGUUCGUUCAUGAGUAUUCUUUCAUUUUUCCUACUGUAUAUCUAUUUACCGGUCGCUCGCUGUUAAAGAACAGAGCUUCUUUGUUUACGUUCCUUUUGAAUGUCUAUUCACCAUUGGCUUGAAAAAAACAGGUUUUAAAACAGUGUCUCAAUUCGAAUCUGUUUUUCGCCUUUGGAUUAUUAGAGUUUAUUAGAUUUAUUAUUAUUAUCUAUAUUUGAGUGUUAUACUCUGUACUUAUUAGUUCCUAAGGUUGUAUUAUGCAAUUUGCAAUUUAUUUAAAUUUUGCAAUAUACGGGGGUUUCAUUAAUAAUUGGAAAUAAUUUAACUGUAGAUUCCUGGCCUCAAAAUAUGUAUUAAGAUUUAACCCAAAUCACCUAGUUUGAAAAUGCUUCUUAUAGAAGCUAGAGAGAGCUCUUUGAAAAAGGCGUCUUGUAAUUAGUUUUUUUAAAUACCUCCAGAACGCUUCUAUUUAGAGAACCCAAAACUGGUACGCUUAUUUAUCUUCCUUUUUCAUCUUUAACUUUUAAGCCUGUUUGACACUGGAUUAUUAAAUUGUGAGGCAUUCUAGUAAUAAAAGGUACUCUUGCUUUAAGUCGGUAGGAUACACCGUUUUCUGGAAAUGGCGAUUUGAAAAUUUUGUGUUUUUUUAAUGUGAGAAAAAUUUACAAAAAAAAACUAUAAAAACAAAAAACGAAAAUUGGUACGUUUAUUCCAGAGAUAAAUCGAUUUCAUCAAUUGCGAAUUUCCAGUACCGGUCAUAUGCGUCUAUUUUGAGUAGGUCAACGGGUAUUUUAUAGCAUUAUUUUUUGUGCCUUUAAUUUUGAAACAUUUUUGACACUAGAUUAUUAAAUUAUGAGGUACUAAAAAUUACUCUUGCUUUAGGUCGGUAAAAUAUACCGUUUUUUUUAAUUUUAUUUAAAUUUCGAUCAAAUUCAAAAAACGAAAAAAUUUCAAAUUGAUUUUUCUAGAAAACAGUGUAUCCUACCGACUUAAAGUAAGAGUAACUUUUAGUACUAGAAUACCACUCAAUUUAAUAAUCCAGUGUCAAAAAUGCUUAAAAGUUAAAGACUAAAAGUUAUGCGAUAAAAUAACCGUUGCCCUACCCAAAGAGGACGCAUAUGACCGGUACUAGAAAUUCACAAUUUAUGAAAUAUAUUUAUCUCUGGAAGAUAAAUAGCCGUACCAGUUUUAGUUUUUCUAAAUAGAUGUGUUCUAGAGGUAUUUCAAAAAAACUAAUAUAAAACGCACCAUCUUCAAAGAGCUCCAGCUCCCAUAGGAAGCCUUUUCGGAGUAGGUGAUUUGGGUUAAACAGUAAUAUUUUGGGCUCAGGAAUCUACAGUUAAAAUAUUUCUAAUUACUAAUGAAACACCCUGUAUUGCUUUGUUUUAUUUCAUUAUCUUUUAUUUUGUAAUAAUAUUGACGAUUUUUGUAAUUUCAUCAAACUGUAUUUGUUGUUGUUUUUUCCUACUCUUUGUAUCUACGCUUUGUCCAUAAAAUUGUAAAAUUUUCAGUGACAAUAAAGUAUGUUUAUAUUCUAUUCUAUACACCCGUUUUUGCUGCUUUUGUUGAACAUUUUUUAGCCCUCUCCCAUAUCAGUCGUGGAAAAGGGCCCCGCGACAAACUUUGAUAGUGGGCCCCUGUGAGGCUAGCUACGCCACUGACAAAGGACUCAGUUACUUCAGGGGCGUCAUUUGAUAGGGUCAGGGGAGCAUUUGCCCCCCCCCCUGACCCUGAAAAUGACUGAAAUUUACAAAAAAUAGAUCAAUUUUGUAUUAUGUUUGCAUAUAAAUGUAUUGUAUAUAUAAUGCUUGCCCCCCCCCUAUCAAAAUUUCAAAUGACGCUCCUGAGUUACUUCAAUUGACAUAUAGCCUAUACAAAAAACAUUGAUUUAAUCUAUUUUGAAGUCCAUAAACUAGGGAAAAUCACCAAAAAUCCCCAAAAGGCAGUUUUUUGGAUUCUUGAAGGUGGCGAACCUUACGGAAAAUUCUGAAAGAAUUUAAAAACAUAGUGUUUGAUAAAAUACACACAAUAGAAAAAAAAUUAGACCUCCAGCCAUCUCAAAAAAGUUAUAUGCUUUUUUACAAAAAAAAAUUAAACAGUUUUUUUGAAUAGACGUGUUUUGUAAAAGCCUCAACUACGCCUAUGAAUUUUUGAAAUUUUAAAAUUGAUUGCAUCUCACCUAAAAAUAAUAAAAACGAAAAAUUAAGUUUUUGAUGGGGGAGGGGGGAUGGCGUGUUAAAAUUACGCUGAGUCUAAUUUUGUUUAAUCACAUAGAACUUAAAAAAAAGUAAAAAAAAUGAAUUCUGGGAGUGAGGGAGAGUACCUUUUAAUUUAUUUUACCCUUCCAUACGUGGAAAGUUUGAUGCGCCACUGUCGACGCAUGUGCCACUAAAAAGUUACGGCACAGUGUUCAUAAGUUUUCUUUUAGGUUCUACUAUUAUUUAAGUUAUAAGGUCUUAUCGUGCCUAAAAUGAUUAGCAAAUUUCACCUAUAGCGGAUCUUAGUCUAAAAUACUGUCUUUAACAUGUGCUCAGUAAGCAAAAAGUCAUCACUUCUUUUUAUUUAUGUACAGAUGGUUAGUAUCCAAAAACUCAAGAUGGGUACCAUACCAUCAUAAUCGAGUAAAAAUAAGAAACUUUUGUGACUAAUCAAAAUAAAAUUUAUGAGACAUGAUUUAUAGUUACAAGAAUUUAAGGGCCGGUUGUUCGAACGCUAAUCAACAAUGAUCAUUAUCAAAUAUUUAAUUACUGUCACCAACUGUCAAUGUCAACUUUGUUUAGGUUGCUGAAAACAUAAUUGAUUACAAUUAUGAAAUUACUUAAUCAAUUAUGUUAAUAAUUGUUAUGUUAAUUGAUUAACUAAUCUCAUAAUUAUAAUCAAUUAUGUUUUCAGCAACCCAAUAAAAGUUGACAUUGACAUUUUUGGUGACAGUAAUUAAAUAUUUGAUAGUGAUCAUUGUUGAUAAGCGUUUGAACAACCGGCCCUAAAUCUACUAUUAUAAAUAAAAUAUCAAAUAAAUAAUUUUAUUGAAAAUCCUUUUUAAAAGGUAUAUAAUUUAUUAAAAUCACUUAAAGGGGUCAAUCAAAUCACAGUUUUGGAUAGAAAUAUAAUCAUCACUGCUAAUACAGGUUAAUCACAUGCUAAACCACCAAAAAUGCUUGGGUAUAAACCCUUUAAAUGUUUUUAAAAUAUGUUAAAUUUACAUUAUUAUGAAUAAUUUCAAACGAUGGAUAAAAUUGUCAUAAAUAUGGCCCACAGGCAUCGCAUAACUCCCCACACAAUACGUGGAUUGCUGAACUGAAGGAUACGUCCGUACAUUACGGACGAUGGAUCGGAUUACGGAACAUAAGGACAUAUCCUUCACCUCAGCAACCCACGUGUCGUGUAGGGAGUUAUGCGAUGCCUAUGGGCCAUAUUUAUGAUAAUUUUAUUAAUCGUUUGGAAUUAUUCAUAAUAAUGAAAAUUUAAAACAUUUUCAAGACAUUCAAAGGGUUCGCUGAAAAGUAUUGUACCUUUAUAUUUCACAAUAUCGAAAAUUGUUGUUAUGAAAAUUUGUUUGGAAUUAAAAACUAUGUUUUAAUUUGUAAUUACAUCCCUCUAAUAAAAUAAAUCGUAAAUUUUUCUCAAAUUACCAAAAUUCAAUAUCAUUUUUAUUUAUUACAAAUAGAAUAACUCAUAAUUAUUUAUCAUAACAUAAGAGAUGAUAAAUUUUCAUAAAACAAAAUACAUGAGAAAUCUAAUGAACAUUGAAUAGGCAGAAGAGAGAAAACCUUUUUCUCUCUCAGGGCGGAAGAGUUAUAUUUGUAAUAAAUAAAAAUUAUGUUCGGUGUCAGUAACUUGAGAAAAAUUUCUUUUUUUUUUCAACCAGAAGGAUGUACUCGCAUAUAAUAACAUACACUGCUGUGCAAAAAAAUCGAUCCACUAAAAAUUUGGUCAUUUUUGAUGUUUUGAACUUCCUAAACCCGUUGUCCGAUUUAAGUGAUUUUUUACCACGUUAUAGCCUUAUCCAUUGACAAUAUCGAUGUAAUAAUAUUGUUGCUAGACAGUUAAACUGUCAUUGUAUACCGGGUGUACGAAUCAAACUGUGUUUUUUUUUCUCAAAGCUCCCAUCACGCUGUGGGCUAUUCUAGCAUUUAUAAAAUACUGAAAUUAAAACCCAACUAUAGCCUCAGGUUUUCUUAACAUUUUGUCUUUCGAUUCAUCCGCUUAUGUUGAAUAAUAAAAAAGUUAGGUGCUUUAACAACUUGCCAUGUUCGUCAUCAGUAGAGGGUGUUUCUAAAUAAGUGCGACAAACUUUAAGGGGUAAUUUUACAUGAUAAAAUAAUGACAAUUUUCUUUAUAAUCAUAUGUCCGCAAACGCUUCGUUUCCGAGAUACGGGAUGUUCAAUUUUUUUUUACAAACUGACGAUUUAUUUAUCGCUUUAAAACCAGUUGAGAUAUGCAGAUGAAAUUCGGUGGGUUUUAAAACGUAGUUAUUGCACAUAUUUUGACAUACAAUUAAGAAUUUUAUAUUCACCAUUGGCGUGCGUACGGGUAAUACUAUCGGUCAUAAUACCCGUUUGCGCGCCACUGGUGAAUAUUAAAUUCUUAAUUGUAUGUCAAAAAAUGACGCAAAUUGUCAUUAUUUUCUCAAUUAAAAUAACCCGUUAAAGUUUUGCGCAAAUAUUUUAGAAACAUCCUGUACUGAUGACGAAUAUGGCCAGUUGUUAAAGUACCUAACUUUUUUAUUAUCCAACAUAAGCAAAUGAAUCGAAAGAUAAAAUGUUAAGAAAACCUGAGGCUAUAGUUGGGUUUUGAUUUCAGUAUUUUAUAAAUGCCAGAAUAAUCCACAGGGUGAUGCGAACUUUGAGAAAAAACACAGUUUGAUUCGUACACCCGGUAUAGAAUGAUAGUUUGACUAUUUAGCAACAAUAUUAUUACAGGGAUAUUGUCAAUAAAUAAGGCUAUAACAUGGUAAAAAAUCACUUAAAUCUGACAACAGGUUUAGAAAAUUCAAAACAUCAAAAAUGACCAAAUUUUUAGUGGAUCGAUUUUCUUGCACCGCAGUGUAGUUUUUAAUUUCAAACACCUUUUCUUAUUAACAAUUUUCGAUAUUGUGAAAUAUAAAAAGGUACUUUAUGUUUCAAUCAUUAACGUCUCAUAAACUUCUUUUUGAUUAUUCACAAAAUUUAUUUAGUCCUUUAUAAAAUCCUUUAUAAAAUUUAAAUAUUUAAAAAAAUUAUAUAUUUAUUAAAAGUCCCUUAAAGGGCUACAACACAAUCACGGAACGUUUCCGAUCUAAAAAGAUCAUCAUCAGUGUUGAAAUUUAGAUCUUUCAAAUCGAAAACGUGGUGGGAUUGUGAUGAAGCGCUUUAAGGGACUUUUAAUAAAUAUAUACCUGUUUUAAAAUAUUUUACUAAAUCAUUUUUUGUGAUUAAUGACAUGCAGCCAGCUACAAAUUCGUUUCCUUCUUUAUUUACAAAAUUCUUUUAUUUUUACUUAAUUAUGAUGGGACCCAUUUUUGACUUGACUGGCUGAAAAAUUUGACUGUGCAUUGACUCAAUAUUUUACGAUCAAUUUAAGUUUCAUUAAAUUUAACAGUCAAUCAGUAAAGUAUAAAAGUAAUAGUACUAACAGAACUAAACAUUUGACAACAUUAACAUAAAGAGAUAAUUUUUAAGUCUUUUUUAUGUAUAGUAGGUUCUUAAGAUUACGUUCAAUAAAUAUUAUUAUCUAUCGAUUUUGAUUCCUGUAUUGUAUUAUUUUUGAUACUAUUUUUAAAUGUUUCAUUAUAAAAUAGGGUAAUUUUUACUGUUUUUGAGUCUUUUACCAUAACAAGCAAGUAGCAUAAAUCAUUAUUAUUAAGCUAUGAAUUUUAUGUCUAUAUUUUACUGUUAUAAAUAUCAUCUUAAAAAAAGAUUCAUGUCAAUUUAAGUUUAGCAAGAUGGAAAUAAAGCUUAGUUAAACAUUAACGUUGUUGCCUAAGUAUAUAUUUUUAUUUCAUUUAUUCAAAUUUUUUUCAUAUUUAUAGUAUUACAAUGCACUAUUACAAAGGAGCAAAAUCAACAAUAUAAUUUGUCCAUAGCUUCAUUUAAUUUAGUUCGUGGCACACUAUCAUAUGCUGAUUAAUUAUAGGCACUGAAACCAGCUUUUUAUACUGUUCCACCCAUCCAUCUAAUACAUCCUCUUUUAUAUUGAGUAUAUCUUUCUCCUUAGUUUUACAUAUUCUCGGCCCUGGUUUAAACUAUUUUCUUGUAUUAUACGGUAAUUUUUAGAAUGUUCUGGUUUGGUUUUCCCUUUUUAAUGUUUCAAGUAUUCCAAUAUUCCACUUUCAAAAGUAGUCAUUGCGUGGUAUUGGUGUUUCAAGUCCUGGAAUAUUAUUUACUGCGUUUUUAAUAUUGUUCUUGGACAUUUACCACUAUUCACUAGUUGAUAGAUCCUCAUUAAUUAUGUCUUUAUUUCAAUAUAGUUUUGAAAGCUUUCUAGUGUUUGCAGCUUUUUAAGGAGUUUAAUAUUGUGAAGAAUAUACUUCAAGCUCCACUUUGAUCCAUCGACAAACAGUCGCAAUUAUUUUGCAUUAUAAGCUGAAAUUCUCAACUCUUUCAUUAAACCACGUACAUAAUACACAAAUCAAUGAACACUUCGAAAUUAUUGUAGAAAAGCACUUUUUACAUAAUUUAGAUCUCUUUCCAAGCAAGUUUCCCUCACGCUUUCUUGGUGCUGAGAUAUUUGAAGCUUUUUGUAUUGCCCAAAACCAUAAUAAACCAUUCAACUCUUGCUGAUCAAAUCCCAUUUAUCAGAGAAGGUUAGUGACAGCCAAUAGAACAAUAGUGUUUCGUAUGAUUCAUGCUAGAUUCUCAUCAUCAACAGAUAUUCCAUCCAUCGUCGGAUAUAAGCCUCCCUUAAGUGUUAGUGAUGUUGAUUAUAGUUACUUUCGAGUAUUCGUUACAAAUCGUUACUUUUGUAUAAAGUAAUCAUUUACAGUAUUCGUUACUUUGAUUACCAUGAUUACUUUUGUAUUUGAGUACCGGUAAUCAUAAUAUGAGGUAAUCAUGAUAUUAUCGAAAAUCGUAUUUAUCAGUAGGUAGGUAUUGUGUAUAGGUAUUCCGAUAUAAAAAAUAAUUAUUUACAGUAUUCGUCACUUUGAUUACUAUGAUUACUUUUGUUACUUUUGUAUUUGAGUACCGGUAAUCUUAUCGAAAAUCAUAUUUCUCAGUAGGUAGGUAUUUUGUAUGCCCCCCCCCCUAAAUGCCCUGGUCUAAUUCUAAUAAAAUCAAUGCAAUACAUACAAAAUUAAAGUUGUUGAUCAUACUGUAGAAACAUUAUCAUUUCCACAUUUUUCCGGUCAGUUUAGAAAGUCAUCAAGUGUACUGGUUGUAGAUACAAUAGUUGUUACUCGCUCUGAUACGAUUGGUACGAAGUAACGAAGAAAUCAGAGUAAUCAAUGUAGAUAGUCGUUACUCGUCCUGAUACGAUUGGUACGAAGUAACCAAGUAAUCAGAAUAAUCAAAGUAAUCAAAGUAGAUACAAUAGUCGUUACUCGCUCUGAUACGAUUGGUACAAAGUAAUCAGAGUAAUCAAAGUAUUCAAAGUAAUCAAAGUAGAUACAAUAGUCGUUACUCGCUCUGAUACGAUUGGUACGAAGUAAAGAAGUAAUCAGAGUAAUCAAAGUAGGUAACGAUUUGCCUCUCUGUAUAGUAAUCGUUACUUUCGGUAUUCGUAACGAAUAGUUACUUUGUAACGAAUAGUUACUUUUUCAACAUCACUAUUAAGUGUGUCCAUACUGUCCAUUCACUUCUAUUUGUCGUUUUUGCAUUCAUUCAUGGCCAGCCAUGCGCUUGAUAUUACCAGUCCAUCUUGUCUGAGGUCUGGAUCUACUUCUUUUACUUGCCCUUGGUCGUCAUUCAACAAUUCGCUCCGUCCAACGGUUGUCAUCCAUUCUUCCUAUGUAUCCUGUCCAGUUCCAUUUUAACGUGGCCAUCUUCUGGAUCACAUCUGUUACCUUUGGUGUUAUUCUUAUCUCCUCAUUGGAUAUGCGAUCAUGUUGAGCAUUCUCCGUUCCGUAGUUAUAUUGUAGGGAAGAUAAAACUUGACGCGGUAGAGAAAAACUAAUUACAGUAUUGAAACCAGCAUACCGGAAUACCUAUAGGUCUGGAUCCAUCGUAUGAAAAAAAGUUGGUUAAUAGCAAGCUGAAAAUUUGUUAAUAGCUUAAGGGUGUCUUGUGGGACAAACUUUGAUGUAUGGGAACACUGCAACAGGGGAAGUUUUAAUUGUGGGACAAGUUAAAAAUUUGAAACGUCAGACUACAAAAACGUCCCAUGUAUUUUGUCGGACAGAACUUCCAAUUGAUUUGUUACCCUUUCAUUAAACUGUCAUGCGAAAAAUCAGAAUGGUAUUUAUCACCAAAUGGGCAUUUUAAUGAGAGGAACACGUAGAAUAUGUCAAAUGACAAGAAUUAUGACAAGUGAUAAAUACCAGUCUGAUUUUUGAAUGGGAGUUUAAUGAAAGGGUAACAAAUCAAUUGGAAGUUCUGUCGGACAAAAUACAUGUGACGUUUUCGUGGCCUGACGUUCCAAAUUUUUAACCUGUUCCACAAUUAAAACUUCCCCUGUUCCAGUGUUCCUAUAUAUCAAAGUUUGUCCGACUAGACACCCUUAAGCUAUUAACAAAUUUUCAGCUUGCUAUUAAUCAUUUUUUUUCAUACGCGGGAUCCAGACCUACUAUAAAAUAGCUAAACAAUAAAACUGAACAGAUUUUUUAAAAAUUAUUCCCUAGUAUUUUAUAUUUAUGGUACCACUGUUAAUUUACAGCCAAAGUCUUGUAGACUAUUGUUGUAUUUUUUUUUUAUUCUUGGUAUAUGAAAUAACAGAAUUAUGUAAAUGUAGGGUAACUAAGCUAUAUCUCCAAACAAGAAUUGGUAUAAUUAAAUGAUAGCGUAUAAUAUAAUAUAUUAUGUAAUAUAAAAAUACGUACCUAACUUAAAGAGUUUUAACUUAUAUAUCUUUAUUCAAUACAACAUUCAUUAUUCUAACAAUUGUACAAACUAUAGUUACUAUAGGUAAGUUUUGAAUAAUAUGACUGAGUUAAUCAAAUAUUGUUACCAGAAAAUAUACCAUUAAAGAUUAGUAAUUUUGUUUUUUUUUUCAAUCAUAUUGUUUAUGUUGGCUCUUACAAUCUAGUUUUCUUAUAGAUUUAUAUAACUAGAAUAAACCUUUGUUAAAGAUUUUGUAAAAAUGUUAAUACUUUAAGUACCUAAUUUUGAUAAUAUAUUUUUCUAAAAUA
rnacentral:misc_RNA from 1 species